rnacentral:rRNA from 1 species
AUUGAACGCUGGCGGCAUGCCUUACACAUGCAAGUCGAACGGCAGCACGGGAGCAAUCCUGGUGGCGAGUGGCGAACGGGUGAGUAAUAUAUCGGAACGUGCCCGGUCGUGGGGAUAACGUAGCGAAAGCUACGCUAAUACCGCAUACGAUCUACGGAUGAAAGCGGGGGAUCGCAAGACCUCGCGCGAUUGGAGCGGCCGAUAUCAGAUUAGGUAGUUGGUGAGGUAAAGGGCUCACCAAGCCGACGAUCUGUAGCUGGUCUGAGAGGACGACCAGCUACACUGGGACUGAGACACGGCCCAGACUCCUACGGGAGGCAGCAGUGGGGAAUUUUGGACAAUGGGCGCAAGCCUGAUCCAGCAAUGCCGCGUGCAGGAUGAAGGCC